rnacentral:lncRNA from 1 species
GAAAAAAACAAUUGGAUAGUCAUACCAUGAAUACAAGGGAACACUGAAUUUGGAGUCAGAAGACUUGGGGAAACCAUGAUCUUUUUAUGGAGAAACCAUAAUCUCUUGGAAAGAAAAAAAAUACCCUGUACAAAAUCAUUGAAGAUUACUUUGGGAGAGAAGGAGGGAAUACCAGAUGACAACACUGGGAUUCGAAAUUUCCAUGGAGAAGCCCCCAGUUUGGAGGUAAUCAUUAUUGGAAAGUUUUAGUCUUUCCUUCUUUCUUUCUAUUGCCCUGGAAGAUAUUAAUAGUUUAUGUGUCAACCUUACAAAAACUGUGCUUUUGUAUCAAUUUUGAAUAAAUAUUCAAAUGAAAGGAAAUUUUUCUUCUAU